GCGCCCGUAGCUCAGUUGGAUAGAGCACCGGCCUUCUAAGCCGGGGGUCGAAGGUUCGAGUCCUUCCG
rnacentral:tRNA from 1 species